UACGGAGGGUGCAAGCGUUGUCCGGAAUUACUGGGCGUAAAGCGUGCGUAGGUGGUUUGUUAAGUCUGUUGUGAAAGCCCCGGGCUCAACCUGGGAAUGGCAAUGGAUACUGGCAGGCUAGAGUGCGGUAGAGGGUAGUGGAAUUCCCGGUGUAGCGGUGAAAUGCGUAGAGAUCGGGAGGAACACCAGUGGCGAAGGCGGCUACCUGGACCAGCACUGACACUGAGGCACGAAAGCGUGGGGAGCAAACAGG
rnacentral:rRNA from 1 species